rnacentral:misc_RNA from 1 species
ACUCCCUUUUAACAUAUAGAAAGCACAAUGAAAGUAGCAUGUGUAAUUUCUAGCACUGCAUCAUCGGCGACGGUCCUCUGCCGCUGCGGCCGCUCCCUUUUCUCCUCCUUCUCCGUGGCCAAAACCCUAAAUUCAUCCUCGUUUCGGAGGGGUUGGAUGAGCAACACCGCUGCGGCCGGCUCUUUAUACCAAAUAUCUUGUUCAAUGACUACCCAAACCUCCCCACCAGACACACCGGCAAUAAUCGCGCCUCUGCCGGAGAAACCGAAGCCAAAGCCACAGCCAUGGCUCAUCGUUGGCCUCGGUAACCCCGGGAAACGAUAUGCUGGUACCCGUCACAACGUGGGUUUUGAGAUGAUAGAUACUAUAGCUGAUGCUGAAGGAAUAUCAAUGGGCAGUGUUUCCUUCAAAGCUCAAUUUGGAAAAGGUUUCAUUGGAGAUGUUCCAAUUAUGCUUGCUAAGCCUCAAACAUUCAUGAAUGCAAGUGGUGAGUCUGUUGGGGCAAUUGUUUCAUAUUAUAAGAUUCCACUGAAGCAAGUUCUUGUGGUUUUUGAUGACUUAGAUCUUCCUUUUGCAAAGUUGCGGUUAUUGCCAAAAGGUGGUCAUGGAGGACACAAUGGGAUGAGGAGCAUUAUGAAUCAUCUUAAAGGAAACCGUGAUUUUCCACGCUUGCGAAUAGGCAUUGGGAGGCCUCCAGGGAAAAUGGAUCCAGCAAGUUUUGUUCUUCGUGCAUUUAAUCGACAAGAACGUGAAGAGUUGGACUUCACAUUACAGAAUGGUUUGGAGGCAAUGAGAAUUUUAGUGCUCGAGGGAUUCGACAAAAGUGCCACAUUUGUGAAUAGUUCCAAACCUUUAACAGUUUAGGUUAGGGAAUCAUUCAUUUUUCCAGAGUUUGGUGAUUGAUGGGAGAAAGGUGCCCCAACCUAUUUUGCUUGUCAGGAUACAAAAGAAAUAUAGUUUGUAUACUAAAAUACUGUAGUAUG